rnacentral:rRNA from 1 species
UACAGAGGUCUCAAGCGUUGUUCGGAUUCAUUGGGCGUAAAGGGUGCGUAGGUGGCGGGGCAAGUCAGGUGUGAAAUCUCGGGGCUCAACCCCGAAACUGCACUUGAUACUGCUUUGCUCGAGUACUGGAGAGGAGACUGGAAUUUACGGUGUAGCAGUGAAAUGCGUAGAUAUCGUAAGGAAGUACCAGUGGCGAAGGCGAGUCUCUGGACAGUUACUGACACUGAGGCACGAAGGCCAGGGGAGCAAACGGG